rnacentral:lncRNA from 1 species
AUGGAGAGUUUAGGUAAAGACCGUGCUUAUUCAGACCCUUCCCUGCCACCCUCUACAGCUUGUGAGGAGCAUGCUGUGCCAGGUGUCACCACCCGCCGCUUGAGAGACCGGGAGAUGCUCCGGAAAAGAAAGGCAGAAGCCCAGGAGAAGGAUUCAAUUCAGUGGGCUAUAGGGGAGCAGGAGAGGAGCAAGCAGCAGAGAAGACGACGAGGAGCCAGGCGAGGACGGGGCCGAAAAACCGUGGUGAAGCCCACACCGAAGCCAGAACCAGAGCUGGACCCUGAGCCCCCGGCGCAGAAGGAGGCUGAGCUGGUGCCCCCCGUGCCAGCGCACCAAGCCCAGCCACCCAUGAUGGCCAUGCAGGAGAUGCUCGGUGGGGUGCAGAUGGGAGCACUGGAGGGAGAGAUGGCAUCUGGGAGCCAGGGCCCUCUGGGUGAAGAGGAAGUGCUGAAACUAGCGGAAGAAAUACCAGAAGAACUGAAUACUCCCCUGGAAAACGACACAGAGGGUAGCGAAUACUUCCCGUCAGUCCUAUUCUAAGUUUCUCUCUCGAGUUUUACAUUUUCAUUUACAAUUCUAUGUCUGAGAGAAACUCCGAUGAGUGUUGUAGAGAGAUGUAGACCCCCUCCUUCCUGGUGAAUAAUAAAGCCCAGAGUCUCCUGGCCA